UACUCACAUGGUUGCUAAUCACGUGAAGUGUAGGUGAAAGCCACCAUGCUGGGUAAA
rnacentral:pre_miRNA from 1 species